ACAGCAGCAGCCGCGGUAAUACGGGGGGUGCAAGCGUUAUUCGGAUUGAUUGGGUGUAAAGGGUGUGCAGACGGCUUAUUAAGUCACUUGUUAAAUUCUUCGGCCUAACUGAAGGUCUGCAAGUGAUACUGAUGAGCUAGAGGGUGGAAGAGAGAAGUGGAAUUCUCGGAGUAGCGGUAAAAUGCGUAGAUCUCGAGAGGAACACCAAUGGCGAAGGCAGCUUCUUGGUCCAUUCCUGACGUUCAUACACGAAAGCGUGGGGAGCAAACAGGAUUAGAUACCCCCGUAGUCCCUGUCUCUUAUAA
rnacentral:rRNA from 1 species